rnacentral:rRNA from 1 species
CUCGUAGGCGGCCAACUAAGUCGGAUGUGAAAUCCCCAGGCUUAACCUGGGAACUGCAUCCGAUACUGGAUGGCUUGAAUUCGGGAGAGGGAUGCAGAAUUCCAGGUGUAGCGGUGAAAUGCGUAGAUAUCUGGAGGAAUACCGGUGGCGAAGGCGGCAUCCCGGACCGACAUUGACGCUGAGGAGCGAAAGCCAGGGGAGCAAACG